rnacentral:rRNA from 1 species
AUUGAACGCUGGCGGCGUGCCUAACACAUGCAAGUCGAGCGGUAACAGGCGUAGCAAUACGUGCUGACGAGCGGCGAACGGGUGAGUAAUGCUUCGGAAUCUGCCCAGUAGUGGGGAAUAACCAUCCGAAAGGAUGACUAAUACCGCAUACGUCCUACGGGAGAAAGCGGGGAUCGUAAGACCUCGCGCUACUGGAUGAG